GAACGCUGGCGGCAUGCCUAACACAUGCAAGUCGAACGAGACCUUCGGGUCUAGUGGCGCACGGGUGCGUAACGCGUGGGAAUCUGCCCUUGGGUUCGGAAUAACAGUGAGAAAUUACUGCUAAUACCGGAUGAUGUCGAAAGACCAAAGAUUUAUCGCCCAGGGAUGAGCCCGCGUAGGAUUAGCUAGUUGGUGAGGUAAAGGCUCACCAAGGCGACGAUCCUUAGCUGGUCUGAGAGGAUGAUCAGCCACACUGGGACUGAGACACGGCCCAGACUCCUACGGGAGGCAGCAGUGGGGAAUAUUGGACAAUGGGCGAAAGCCUGAUCCAGCAAUGCCGCGUGAGUGAUGAAGGCCUUAGGGUUGUAAAGCUCUUUUACCCGGGAUGAUAAUGACAGUACCGGGAGAAUAAGCCCCGGCUAACUCCGUGCCAGCAGCCGCGGUAAUACGGAGGGGGCUAGCGUUGUUCGGAAUUACUGGGCGUAAAGCGCACGUAGGCGGCUUUGUAAGUUAGAGGUGAAAGCCUGGAGCUCAACUCCAGAAUAGCCUUUAAGACUGCAUCGCUUGA
rnacentral:rRNA from 1 species